rnacentral:rRNA from 1 species
AUGGCGAGCGCGGCGGCGUCCAAGAAGGCGGCGAACCGGCUGGUGGUGGAGGAGGCCGCCACCAACGACGACAACUCCGUGUGCACCCUCCACCCCGCCACCAUGGACAAGCUCUCCAUAUUCAAGGGCGACAUCGUGCUGCUCAAGGGCAAGCGCCGCCACAGCACGGUCUGCAUGGCACUGCCUGACGACACCUGCGAGGGCCACAAGAUGAGGAUCAACAAGGUAGCCCGGUCCAACCUGCGCGUGCGCAUCUCCGACGUCGUGUCGGUGCACCAGUGCCACGACGUCAAGUACGGCAAGCGCGUGCACAUCCUCCCGUUGGACGACACCAUCGAGGGCAUCGGGGGGAACCUCUUCGACGCCUACCUCAAACCCUACUUCGUGGACGCCUACCGCCCGGUCCACAAGGGCGACCUCUUCCUCGUGCGUGGUGGCAUGCGGAGCGUGGAGUUCAAGGUCAUGGAGAUGGACCCUGCGGUGGAGUACUGCAUCAUGGCGCCCGACACGGAGAUAUUCUGCGAGGGCGAGCCGGUCAAGAGGGAGGAUGAGGAGAGGCUCGACGACGUCGGCUACGACGACGUGGGUGGCAUGGGGAAACCGCUGACUCUCAUCAGGGAGCUCGUCGAGCUGCCACUCAGGCAUCCGCAGAUCUUCAAGAGCAUUGGCGUCAAGCCUCCCAAAGGCAUCCUCCUCUACGGCCCUCCCGGGUCCGGCAAGACGUUGAUCGCCCGUGCGGUGGCGAACGAGACCGGGGCCUUCUUCUUCCUUAUCAACGGCCCGGAGAUAAUGUCCAAGAUGGCUGGAGAGAGCGAGAGCAACCUGAGGAAGGCCUUCGAGGAGGCCGAGAAGAACGCGCCCUCCAUCAUCUUCAUCGACGAGAUCGACUCCAUUGCCCCUAACAGGGAGAAGACUCACGGCGAGGUCGAGAGGCGCAUCGUCUCCCAGCUGCUGACGCUCAUGGACGGCAUGAAGGCACGCGCGCACGUCAUCGUCAUGGGCGCCACGAACCGUCCCAACAGCAUCGACCCUGCCUUGAGGCGCUUCGGGAGGUUCGAUCGCGAGAUCGACAUCGGCGUGCCGGACGAGGUCGGCCGCCUCGAAGUGCUCCGCAUCCACACCAAAAACAUGAAGCUGGACAAGGACGUCAACCUUGAGGUGGUUGCCAAGGAUACGCACGGCUACGUUGGCGCCGACUUGGCCGCGCUCUACACCGAGGCGGCGUUGCAGUGCAUCAGGGAGAAGAUGGACGUGAUCGACUUAGAGGACGACACCAUUGAUGCCGAGAUCUUGAACUCCAUGGCCGUCACCAAUGACCACCUUAAGACGGCUCUCAUCGGCACCAACCCGUCCGCGCUUCGUGAGACCGUCGUCGAGGUGCCCAACGUCAACUGGAACGAUAUCGGCGGCCUCGACAGCGUCAAGAGGGAGCUGCAAGAGACCGUACAGUACCCGGUCGAGCACCCAGAGAAAUUUGAGAAGUUCGGCAUGUCGCCGUCCAAGGGCGUCCUCUUCUACGGGCCACCGGGAUGUGGCAAGACCUUGCUGGCGAAGGCGAUCGCCAACGAGUGUCAGGCCAACUUCAUCAGCAUCAAGGGGCCAGAGCUGCUCACCAUGUGCGUGAAAUCUUUGACAAGGCACGCCAGUCUGCGCCGUGCGUCUUGUUCUUCGACGAGCUUGACUCCAUCGCAACCCAGAGGGGAGGCAGGGUGGGGGAUGCCGGCGGUGCGGCGGACAGGGUCCUGA